rnacentral:rRNA from 1 species
UAAUUGAAGAGUUUGAUCAUGGCUCAGAUUGAACGCUGGCGGCAGGCCUAACACAUGCAAGUCGAGCGGCAGCGGAAAGAAGCUUGCUUCUUUGCCGGCGAGCGGCGGACGGGUGAGUAAUGUCUGGGGAUCUGCCCGAUGGAGGGGAUAACCACUGGAAACGGUGGCUAAUACCGCAUAACGUCGCAAGACCAAAGUGGGGGACCUUCGGGCCUCACGCCAUAGGAUGAACCCAGAUGGGAUUAGCUAGUAGGUGGGGUAAAGGCUCACCUAGGCGACGAUCUCUAGCUGGUCUGAGAGGAUGACCAGCCACACUGGAACUGAGACACGGUCCAGACUCCUACGGGAGGCAGCAGUGGGGAAUAUUGCACAAUGGGGGAAACCCUGAUGCAGCCAUGCCGCGUGUAUGAAGAAGGCCUUCGGGUUGUAAAGUACUUUCAGCGGGGAGGAAGGCUGGUGGCUUAAUACGCCAUCAGAUUGACGUUACCCGCAGAAGAAGCACCGGCUAACUCCGUGCCAGCAGCCGCGGUAAUACGGAGGGUGCAAGCGUUAAUCGGAAUUACUGGGCGUAAAGCGCACGCAGGCGGUCUGUUAAGUCAGAUGUGAAAUCCCCGGGCUCAACCCGGGAACUGCAUUUGAAACUGGCAGGCUUGAGUCUCGUAGAGGGGGGUAGAAUUCCAGGUGUAGCGGUGAAAUGCGUAGAGAUCUGGAGGAAUACCGGUGGCGAAGGCGGCCCCUGGACGAAGACUGACGCUCAGGUGCGAAAGCGUGGGGAGCAAACAGGAUUAGAUACCCUGGUAGUCCACGCCGUAAACGAUGUCUACUUGGAGGCUGUGGUCAUGAACCGUGGCUUCCGGAGCUAACGCGUUAAGUAGACCGCCUGGGGAGUACGGCCGCAAGGUUAAAACUCAAAUGAAUUGACGGGGGCCCGCACAAGCGGUGGAGCAUGUGGUUUAAUUCGAUGCAACGCGAAGAACCUUACCUGGUCUUGACAUCCACAGAAUUCUCCGGAGACGGAGAAGUGCCUUCGGGAACUGUGAGACAGGUGCUGCAUGGCUGUCGUCAGCUCGUGUUGUGAAAUGUUGGGUUAAGUCCCGCAACGAGCGCAACCCUUAUCCUUUGUUGCCAGCGAUUCGGUCGGGAACUCAAAGGAGACUGCCGGUGAUAAACCGGAGGAAGGUGGGGAUGACGUCAAGUCAUCAUGGCCCUUACGACCAGGGCUACACACGUGCUACAAUGGCGCAUACAAAGAGAAGCGACCUCGCGAGAGCAAGCGGACCUCAUAAAGUGCGUCGUAGUCCGGAUCGGAGUCUGCAACUCGACUCCGUGAAGUCGGAAUCGCUAGUAAUCGUGGAUCAGAAUGCCACGGUGAAUACGUUCCCGGGCCUUGUACACACCGCCCGUCACACCAUGGGAGUGGGUUGCAAAAGAAGUAGGUAGCUUAACCUUCGGGAGGGCGCUUACCACUUUGUGAUUCAUGACUGGGGUGAAGUCGUAACAAGGUAACCGUAGGGGAACCUGCGGUUGGAUCACCUCCUUA